rnacentral:rRNA from 1 species
AAAUUGAAGAGUUUGAUCAUGGCUCAGAUUGAACGCUGGCGGCAGGCCUAACACAUGCAAGUCGAACGGUAACAGGAAGCAGCUUGCUGCUUCGCUGACGAGUGGCGGACGGGUGAGUAAUGUCUGGGAAACUGCCUGAUGGAGGGGGAUAACUACUGGAAACGGUAGCUAAUACCGCAUAACGUCGCAAGACCAAAGAGGGGGACCUUCGGGCCUCUUGCCAUCGGAUGUGCCCAGAUGGGAUUAGCUUGUUGGUGGGGUAACGGCUCACCAAGGCGACGAUCCCUAGCUGGUCUGAGAGGAUGACCAGCCACACUGGAACUGAGACACGGUCCAGACUCCUACGGGAGGCAGCAGUGGGGAAUAUUGCACAAUGGGCGCAAGCCUGAUGCAGCCAUGCCGCGUGUAUGAAGAAGGCCUUCGGGUUGUAAAGUACUUUCAGCGGGGAGGAAGGGAGUAAAGUUAAUACCUU